GACGAACGCUGGCGGCGUGCUUAACACAUGCAAGUCGAACGGAAAGGCCCUGCUUUUGUGGGGUGCUCGAGUGGCGAACGGGUGAGUAACACGUGAGUAACCUGCCCUUGACUUUGGGAUAACUUCAGGAAACUGGGGCUAAUACCGGAUAGGAGCUCCUGCUGCAUGGUGGGGGUUGGAAAGUUUCGGCGGUUGGGGAUGGACUCGCGGCUUAUCAGCUUGUUGGUGGGGUAGUGGCUUACCAAGGCUUUGACGGGUAGCCGGCCUGAGAGGGGUACCGGCCACAUUGGGCCUGAGAUACGGCCCAGACUCCUACGGGAGGCAGCAGUGGGGAAUAUUGCACAAUGGGCGGAAGCCUGAUGCAGCAACGCCGCGUGCGGGAUGACGGCCUUCGGGUUGUAAACCGCUUUCGCCUGUGACGAAGCGUGAGUGACGGUAAUGGGUAAAGAAGCACCGGCUAACUACGUG
rnacentral:rRNA from 1 species